rnacentral:rRNA from 2 species
CCUGAUCCAGCCAUCCCGCGUGUGCGAUGAAGGCCUUCGGGUUGUAAAGCACUUUUGGCGGGAAGAAACGGCGCUGGUUAACACCUGGCGCAACUGACGGUACCUGCAGAAUAAGCACCGGCUAACUACUGCCAGCAGCCGCGGUAAUACGUAGGGUGCAAGCGUUAAUCGGAAUUACUGGGCGUAAAGCGUGCGCAGGCGGUUCGGAAAGAAAGAUGUGAAAUCCCAGGGCUUAACCUUGGAACUGCAUUUUAAACUGCCGGGCUAGAGUAUGUCAGAGGGGGGUAGAAUUCCACGUGUAGCAGUGAAAUGCGUAGAGAUGUGGAGGAAUACCGAUGGCGAAGGCAGCCCCCUGGGAUAAUACUGACGCUCAUGCACGAAAGCGUGGGGAGCAAACAGGAUUAGAUACCCUGGUAGUCCACGCCCUAAACGAUGUCAACUAGCUGUUGGGGCCUUCGGGCCUUAGUAGCGCAGCUAACGCGUGAAGUUGACCGCCUGGGGAGUACGGUCGCAAGAUUAAAACUCAAA